UUCCACCACCUACUCGGUAUCCAAAGCCUAAAGCUAUCCCGGUUAUGCGUCCUAUUGAUUAUAUGCCACGCUUCAUGCUUCCAUUUAUUGAAAAAGUGGUGGAUGUUAUCGGCGAUGGACAUUGCGGAUUCCGGGCUAUAGCGGAGUUCAUGGGCUUGACCGAAAAAAAUCAUCUCAUGAUCCGUACACAUCUUAUCCAAGAGUUGAUGGAUCAUAGAGAUGAUUAUGUUGAAGUAUUUGCGGGUGAGGAUCGUUAUAACUACAUUUUAAACGGAUUACAUCCUCCCGCAAAUACAAAAACUUGUGCACAUCUUGUUGAUAAGUGGUUGACAUUUCCGGACAUGGGACACAUUGUUGCUAAUUAUUACAAAAUGUGUGUGGUUGUGUUGACAAAUCUUGAAGUUGGAAAAUCGGAAUCGUUUUUCCCACUAAGAGGGCCACCACCGCCGGGUAAUCAAAAAACUCCCAUCUUGUGCCUUGGGGCAAUUCCAAAUCAUUUUGUGCUUAUUUCCUUGAAGAAUGGUUGUCCACUACCUCCAUCAUCUACGGAGUGGCACAAUCACAAGAAAGAAGAUGCGGUGACUUGGGAAGAUGAGUAUUUGGAUCGACAUGACUUGUUCCGAAAGCUCAUGGCUAUUGAAAGUGGAAACAAACCGUGCAAACCACAAAAGGAGUCAAACAAAGCGGCGCCUAUUUUGUUGGACACUCCCGAAAAACCAAAGCAACAAUUUGAAGUUAUUGCGGAAGAUGAGGAAGAUUCUAUGUCACUUGAUCUUCUCCAAUCACUUGGUUUUUAAUGAGUGAUUUUUUUGUCGGUGUUAGUUCUUUUUUUAUGGUAGAAAUUACACCGAUGUAUUUUUUUGGGUCGAAAUUGUAACGCCAAUUUUUUGGUGGCCAAUAUAUAACUAACAUUAUGUAAUUUAUAUUGAUAUAUAUAUAUAUAUAUAUAUAUAUAUAUAUAUAUAUAUAUAUAUAUGAUAAUAUGAUUUUUAUGUGGAGAAAAUAAUGCAAUACUAAUUUAUAGCUUUUUAAUGUUUUCCGCAUUUCAUUUAUUCGUUAUUACAUUCCAUUUAAUUUUGUUCUAAUAUAUGAUUCUUUUGUUACAAAUUUUUUCAAGUGAGACAUGUCUGAGGUUGCACAAAUUGAAGGGCGGGUUAGGUACUCCGCGUUUAAAAAGACGGUUAAGGUUAUGAUAACGCCGACGGACUCUCUUGACAAUUUGAAAGCACAACUUAACACUUAUUUUGAGCAUCUUGGUGAAAAUCAAUAUACACGUCACUUGUUUGGUCAAAUGCCAUGCAUAGACCUAGGAGAAGAUAGAGAUGAAUACGCAUGGAAAACGGCAAGCUAUAUGCCUUUGCUUAUUCGCGACGACGGCAACGUCGGAUUUAUGUUUCGGAAUAUGGUGGAAGACAAUAUAUUAUAUAUGUAUGUUCGUUCCAUAUGUAAUUGCAUUGAAUGUAAGUAGGGAUUUAAUUUAAUGAUGUGUAAUGAGUAGUUUAAUUAUGGACACUUUGUAAUGUUUUGAUGAAUUUCAAACGUCUAUUUAAUUUUAACCAAAUGUCGGUUUAAUUUAAUUAUGAACAAUUGUAAAAGAUAUUGUAUUUAUCUUCAUUAUGUCCGAGUUUCAAUCAUACAUAUGAAUUAUAUUACCUUUGGAAAUGCUCUGGUUUAAUUACAGGUAAAAACUGGCCGAAAAAUGGCUUGGAAAUACUUAGAAUUAUGCAGAACCUGCUGUCUGCAUAAUCAAAUUUCCUCGGCAGUUAACUCCCGAGGUUUUCCUCGGCAGUUAACUGCCGCCGGUUUCCUAAAAACCUCGGUAGCAAACUGCCGAAGGGUAUUUUGGUAUUUUACUCGUGUGGCACAGCCAAACAACAUGUGGGAACAGCAAUACUCAUAGAAAAGAGGAGUGUUAUUUGAACAAUCAUUUGGUUGACAAUUUUUGAGACAAUCAUAAUUUAUAAAGAAAAAGUUGAUAUUUGCAUGAAAACCAAAGCAAUAGAGAGAUAGAGUAAAAAGUAAUGUGAGUAUGAGAGAGAAAGUUGUCACAAAAAUUAUCAUAAAAGGGAUGUUCAAAUAUCAUUUCUCAAUAGAAAAUGUCAUGCAUGCAUUAAAAAAGACAAAAGUUCGGUACCAUAACCCCAACAUCAUACAUCAAAAGAGACUUCGAGACUUCAGUAAAACUUUUGCCGUCACCUUUGCCAUUAAUUUGUCGUAAUUUCACAUGUUCUUAUUUAACUCAAUUUUUUUUCUUAAGAAAUAUUUAACUAGUACUCUCUCGACGUAUGUUUUUUUUAGGUUUAACUACAAUUUUCGUCCCUACAUCAUAUUUUUAAACAAAAUAUUUGGUGAUAUGUAGGGCCGUCCCUGAGAAUUCGGAGGUUCCGCUCUGGAAAUGAAAAGAGGCCAGUGAUAAAAUUAAAAUGUAUUUUUUUUAAAAGAACAAUGUUCUAUUUAUAUUUUUUAAAAGAUAAAUACAAGGUGCCGUAUAUAUGCGGUACACCCAGAGGUGAAAAUGAAAACCGUAUACAUGAGGAACCCCCACCUAACACCAAAAUCAAGAGGAACUAAUUCUAAUAAUCCUAAAAGGCUAAAACAAGAGAACAGAAAAUGAAACCUACACAAAACCACCAAAAGCCAUGCGCGCACAAAGCUGGCAGUACAGAAGCCAAGCAGUCACAACAACAACAAAAAAAUCGCAGCCCUGUUUAAAUUAAAAAUGAAGUCCGUAAACAUAAGAAAUAAAUAAUAUAGUAAAUAAUAUAAAACGAGUCUUCUUUCACACCAAAACGAGAUUGAACCAUAAAAUAAAAUAAAAACAUAAUUAGUAAUUAGCAACAUAUAUGAUAUAUAAAUUCAAUUAUACACUGAAAUUUGAAUAAUUUUAACAAAAACUCCCAAAACAGUAAAUAUUCAGAAAUCAAUUAUUACUACUUCUGUUAAUAAUCAACCAAAUCUCUAUCAAUCUUUAUCAAUCUCUAUUUUAGCAAUUUCAACAUUCAACAAACAGUGUUGUUUUGGAAAGGGGAAAACCGAUUGAAAUUUGAAACAGGGUUGUUUUCAACAUUCAACAAAUCUCUAUCAAUCUCUAUUUUAACAAUUUCAACAUUCAAAUUAAUGAAAGAGAGUUUAUUUACUUACCAAACAGUGUUGUUUUGGAAAUGGGAAAACUGAUUGAAACUUGAGAGUUGAGAAUCACUGAUGAUUUGGUGAAGAAGGAAAGUCUGAUGAUGUGAAUCAAUUAUUGAUUGAUCAGUGAUGGUGGUUGUGAAUCGGUGAUGGAAUGGAAGAAAAUCGGUGAUGAGAGCGAGGAAACAUGUUUCAACUUUUGUGAAGGAAUGAAAUAACUUUUUUUAUUGGAGGAUAUAUAUUAUACUAGGUAUAAUUUUUUUUUUGAGGUCCAUCCUUGAGGGAGGCCCAGCUCGUUUGAGCUGUUUGCACCCCCUCAGGGACGCCCCUAGUGAUAUGACAUGUUUUAAAAAAUGUGAUAUAUGAUAUGAAUGACGAAAAAUAAAAUCAAUGAAAUUGUAAGAAAUUCUUCUUAAAACUUUAUUUAAAUAUGUAGUAUCAUCAUAUUUUAGACCAAAUACCUCAUGAAGAGCAUAAAAAUUAUCAAAUUUUCUGAAUGAUAAAAUUGUGAGAAAUUUUUUUAAAACUUCAUUUAAAAUCUGUCAUAUCAUAAUAUUGUAGACCAAAUUCUUGACGAAAAGACUAAAAUUGUCAAAUUUUAAGAAUCGAAAAACCUAUUUCGCGAAGUGGUUUAAAUAAGGCAAUUAAAACUUCUUUUUAUAAAUUUUUUAAUUAUAUCUAAUAAGAGCUGAUUAAAGAGUCUAACUCACUGUUCCCGUGAGCAUAGCUCAAUUGACAGGGACAAUGCAUUAUUAUAUGCAGGGGGGCCGGGGUUCGAACCCCGGACACCCCACUUAUUCACUUUAAAAAGUGAAUUCUAGCCACUAAACUACCUGAAGGAAAAAAAAAAAAAAAAAAAAAAAAAAAAGAGUCUAACUCACCAAAAAAUUGUACAUAUCCUAAUAAUGGUUGACUGUUGACGACCACAGUGAUAUCCAUAUACCCAAUCUCUUUCCAGGAAAUUCAUUAUAGACCCGAUUUUAGAUGGCUCCUGCCUCUACACAGUCAAAAGUCAAAUCAAAUUCUUCAUUACAACAUGUCGAGUCUACAAUGAGGUGGUACAUUUUUCUCAAAUUCCAUUAAAAUUGUUGUACAAAGAAUAGUUAUUCUUUUAAUUGGACUUGAAAAUUCAAUUCUAUAUAUCUGAUCUGAUGAACAAUCUUUAAUUAGUAAAAAAGAAGAGAGAGAGAGAGAGAAUAAUGUCAUGGUUACAUGUAUUUGAGGAAGAGUAGUAAAUUUUAGCACGACACAAGCACCUAAUACACUUAGAUUUGGAUGUAUUUUAAAUGUGCUUAAAUUACAAUAAUUAAGAUGUCUUACUUAUGUACCCUCACCUAUAAAUAAAAUCUUUACGUUUUCUUGAAACAAUCGUUAAUGUUUCUAAAUUGUAUUUCUAAUCUUUGUUGUUUUAGAAAAUAAUGGAAUAUAAAAUUCAAUAAUUUACUUUAUUUGUAUAUUGCCAAUUUUUUUUGGGUAAAGUAUUGAUACAAGAAAGAAAAGAAAAGAAAAAAGAGCAUGCCUACAUCCUUACGAACACGCCAAAAACAUAAGAAGAUCGAUACAUUUAUACUCCUUCUGUCCUAAAGUAAAAAUUGGUCAACAAAAAUAAAUGUAUUUAGUUUAAAAUUUGGAUCAAAUAUAGUAAGUUAUGUUGAUCCAUUUUCGUUUAUAUUUUGAGAGGAGUAUUUUUUUUUUUUAAAGAAAACCCUAACCAUAGAUUCAAACAAUCACACACUUUAUUUCCUCAAUACAUAAUGAAUUUUAUAUAAUAGAAUGUCCGAUGCAACACCAUUGCAAACACAUUUUACUCACCUUCCAUGAAGAAUUGCAAACAACAUACACUAUCAUGUACUAGACAACCGGACCUAGGGCCGGCCCAAUGUAUUUUUAAGCUUGAAGCGAAAUUUAAAUGUAUGUUUUUUAAGUGAGUUCAGAGAGAAUAAGAGAAAAACAAAAAGAAAGUUUCCAUAAGUUCCCUCAAUCGAAAGUAAUUCUAUAUGAUCUUUGUCAAACACUAAUUAAAUAUGAGUAUUUUGUCAACUAGAAAUUAAACUUUAGUUUGUCAUAUUGUGCGCCGCGCCCACGUGCGCACGCGUGUGUGUUGAAAAUAAUAUUUGAUAUAGACAUUAUUUACCAAUUGUUGGAGGUCAUAAAAUAACAAAAUCAUAUUGAAAUGAUACAAAUAUGAUUACACAUACUUCUCUUAAUAUAUUUGGAACAACCGAAAUCAAAUUAGAUUGAUAGGAAUCUGAAGGUAAAAAAAAAUUAAGGUUCGAAUUAAAUACCACUUGAGAUUCGAGUGAACAUGUUUAUAAAUUUGACGUACAAAAAUAUUAUCAAAGAUAAUAAAAUAUGAGAGCUAAUACAAGAUCUUAAAAACUCGGGGGCCUAUAGCCCUUGCUUUAGUGACAACCCCUUAGACCGACUCUAACCGGACCAAAAUAAAAUAGAAGACAAACUUUCAAUAAUACCAAAAUAAAUACACAAUGUCACUUCAUCAAGGUUCCCACAAAGAAAAACCACCUAGAUAAACAGUAAAAUAGGAAACCACUACACACAAAUAUUGGCAAAUAAAAAUAACUUUUUUAUCUAAAAAUAGACCUCGUUUAAAGAAGUAUAACCUACUUAUGUAAGUUUUAUCUUACUUUAUUUUUUAUGACUCUACAAUACAUGUUUACUUUCACGUUUGUUAACUUACCUAAUUAGUAGUUCAAAGUUCAAAUACAAAUUAAUCACGAAAAACACAUCUUUAACAACAAGAAAAAUUCAAUUAAUUAAUCAAUAAUAGUAAAUCAAAGAUUUGAGUUUUCUAAACAGGGGGCAUAGUGCAAUGUAUUAGUCAAACUUUAGAAAAUGGAAAGAAACACAUUGAUUCAAGUAGCCAAGUAGCACACAAAGUAGAAUAAUAAUAAUAAUAAGAAGAAAAUAAAAAGGAGGAGUUGGUGCAUGAUGUGGCAAGUAAAAGGCACGUGAUUAUGAGAUACAUUGCACAAAGCCAAAACAGAUAAUGACAUAUCAUAUGGGAUUUGUACCAACUUGCAUAUAUUCUUCCCUUUUUGCACAUUUCUGCCACCCUCCUCGAUCAUCAUCCCAUGCAUUUUUGCAAUUACAAUCCAUAAUCAUAAUGUGAUGCUCUUGUCUCUGACACGCCAGCUUUCAUUUUAACCAAAGUUUCCUUCAUUUGUAGGGUGACUUUUAGAUGAGAAAGUAUGUCAAAUUAAAUGGUCACUCUAUCUUAUUUAGAGAAAUGAUAUUUGUACAACCUUUUUUGACAACUUUUAUACAACUUUCUCUCUCAUACUUACAUUAUAUUUUUACGAGCAAUGAUAUUUGUACAUCCAUUCCAGGACAACUUUAGUGACAACCUUGUUUUUCUAUCUUCUUAUUUGUCAAAAACAAUGGAGAGAGAAAAAGGAAGAGAGAGGAUAAGACCAUCAUGUGAGUAUGAGAGAGAAAGUUGCACAGAAGUUGUCACAAAUUGAUUGUACAAAUAUCAUUUCUCUAUUCUUACUCUCUCUUAAUUUUUCUCUCUCCAUUGUGAUUAACCAAUUAGAAGAGAGAAAAAUGAGAUUGUCAUGAAAAUUGUUAGCAAAUAGUUGUUCAAAUACCACUGCUCUUCCUUUAAAGAAUUAUUUGAAAAUUCUAACAACCAUAUUUUUCUCUUGCAUUUAAUGAAUCAAUAUACUUAAAGGUAGUGAUAUUAGGCAUUAUUGAAAAUUUCAAACACAAAUAUAUUGUAGACUAUAUGUGAUACUUAUUCCCAUAACGAUUGUCAUAUCAUCAACGAGACUUACCACAUAACGAACAUUGUUUGAAAGACUUUCGAUACGACGAGUUGGAUGAACUAUUGACUCUGCUACUUUGUUGGGGGAGUUCAUGGGAACCCUACAAGUAAAAAUGAGUCAAUUCUUGAAGAUUGAUAGAGAGACGUCAUAUCUCCACCCAAAUUUUUAAGGUAUUGAAAAUAAGGGUCGCAUCUCUUAUACAAUGCGGAACUAAAUAUUCACACUUGAACCCAACAAUAUCUUUCCCUCAAGUUGAAUCUCCCACAUCCUAUAUUGGAUCCAAUCACUAGGAUCUCACUUCCGAUCUCGCAUCAUAUUUUAAUCCAAAAUCUUAAGACAUUAAAUAUAUGGAUUCUCUAGUAUGUUGUUCAACAUCCAUUUUUUCAUCCAAUGUGACUUCUGACUUACACUUGUAGGCAUUUGCUAAUUUGCCUUUAAAAUUAAAAAUAUUUUUUAAAACAAUCGCUUAUUUUAAAUCAUUGACUAUGUUAUUCUAAUGGGUUCAUCAAUUUAUUCCUUAAACUUAUUUUAAAGAGACUAAUGUAAUUAAGAAUUUUCAAUUGUAUACACAUUUUUAGAAGUUAUCUAAUUGAAAAGUUCUACUUGCUUGAACUAUAAUUUUAAUGCAAAGAAUCAAUAAUUUACUCAUGGAUUAUGACAAUAAUAACAAAAGGCACAGCCCAUUUCCAUUUUGACACAAUCUUAGGAAAUGCAAUGAAUUGGGACAGCCACACUACCUAAUAGAAGCUCUUAUCUACCGUGUUUCUAGAGAUAGCAAUCUCAUCUUCACUACUCCCACUCCCAUUCCCAUAUUGAUUCUUGUUUUAUAUCUUUUUGGGUUGGCAUUUGAAAUUUCCAACUCAAAGCAUUCUUGGAUUUUGGGAGCAUCUUUGAAAUACAAUCUCAAUCUUGUACAUUUUAACUAUUGGGACUUAAAUUAAAAAAACAAGUAUGGGAUUGUGUAUUAUUUUUGUGGGAGUUGGGAAUUAUGGUCUUUCAAGUCGUGAUACGGUUUUGAUUAUCUUUGUUUCCCAAUGAUAAGUUGAGAAUAAAUAAACAUUUUUUUAACUUAUCUUAAUAGGUUUGUUUAUUUCUUCUGUAUUUUUUAAAUAAAUUUCACUACCAUAUAAAAAUAAUGUUGAAAUAGUGUUGUAAAUUAGAGACAAACAAAUUGAUCUCAAAAGUUUCACUUUACCACAUAACUAGAGACGAAUUUCACAUUUUCUAUCUCUAAAAAAAAUUAUGAUCUUCUUGCUUUUAUAACUAAUCGGUAGAGUUUUAACUUUUAAGGAGUAAAAUUCUUGUAGUGGCUCACACUCUAAUAAUACAUAUAUUGCUAUUUCCCAAAAAUUGCGAUGAAGUUUUAAUUCGUAUGAGAUAAGAGUAUGCAUCAAAUAGUGGUUUCUGAGUUGAUCUGGCAUAAGGUCAAAUAUUUAUCGAUGUGGUGGUUGAAGAAAAAUGUUUGUAAAUGUUUCUAUUAGGUUAUUUGGGUGGUGGUAGCGUCCUUUAGAUUGUUUGGAUCCUGGUUAGAUGUUUUUACUUUGCUUAUUCUUUUUGGUGAAAUGUUGUAUUUGAAUUUUAUUGCUUUUCCUUAGCACACCUUGUGCUGAGAGGAACAUCUUUUGUAAUUUAAUAAAUUAUAUUUUAGCUUGUUAAAAAAAAGGUAAUGAUGACGAAUGGCUUGGUGGCUUUGCUAAAAGCAUUUAUGUUGUAGUGUUCAUACGAGGGAGCUUUGAAGAGUGUAUGAAAGUUUGAAGUAUGUUCGAAGUUUGAAAUUUUGGUCAAAUGAGUUAAUUAUUUAUUCUCUUUUUCCUAGAUGUUAUAGCUCUUUCUGUAAUAUAAGUGUUAAAGAAAAAUCUUACAAAUCAUUAUAUUUUUUUAUGUAUUAGUAGUAUUUUUUUUUUAAGUAUUCUUACAUAAUCUUUUAAAAUUUAUGCAAAAUUUAUCCUUUUAGUUGAAGAGAAAAAAGUUCUAGUAAAUUUUUUGUAGUUGAAAUGUGGAGCUACCAAGCAAUAGUUUACCCUAGUAAAAAAAAGCAAUAUUUUACCAACCAUAUAUACCAUAAAAAGCCACAGAAUUAAAACGUUAUCUAAUCAUGCAUGAGUUCCAUAUGUUAGGUUUGUAUUGUAGUCGACCAGGUGAACAGUAUUUGGUGGAUUUAUGUAAAUGUCAUUUUCAAACAAUGGGAAUAUAAUUACAUUUGAAUUUUUCGUCAAAAUUGAUGACUUUGUCUCUCUUUAACGAAAUUUUGACGGUCACAGUGUAUGAAGAGAGAAAAAUAUAGUGUGUUUUUGUUUUUCCAUAAUAAAAAUGUGAUGUUUCGAUCUAUUGUUGAUCCUGAAUCGUUUAACCUAUCUUUGAGACUCUUCAAUAAAAAAAUCAUCUUUUAACACUAUUAUUAGAGAUGGUUCUAAGUGUAAUUUAGUCAACUCAUAAACCGACAAAAUUAUAAUUAAAUAUUAAUUUUUUAAUAUAUAAAAGCAGAAUUUGAUUUUCUUAAGAGUGUAACAUUUUUAUGUUGCGAAUAUAAUUUUCUAAGCACACAUCACGAAUUGGUCAUGGCUGCGCAAAUUCAAAGCACAUGUCACGAAUUGAUCAUAACAAGCUAGUAUAGUACUACUAAUGGAAGUUGAAAAUUUUGACCAUUUUCAUGAGUUUGAAAAUUCUGUCGCAGAAAAUGAAGCAUAUACAACUACAACUAAAAAAAAUAAUAAGUAUGAAAUAUGAAUAAUUAAGGAUUUUUUCAUUAAAAAUAUGUAUCAACUUUUAUAAAACUUUUCUAUUUUGGGGUCAAAUAUAAAGAAUUUUUAAGUACUUUCAAGCGUCCACCUAUAUUCAAAUUAAUUUUGUUAAUCGGUGUUGUAAAAUUUAUAAACAAAUAUUUGUUUGAAGGCUUUCCAAAUAAAAUAAACACAAAACAGAUAACAUAAUUUCGUGAAUAUGAAUUUAAUUUGGACAUGACUUGAGCUAAAUGAGUGAUCACUAUCCUUAAUUUUGUGGAACAAUUCUUACAUACUCGUAGUUUUGUCGAAGAGAGUAUUCAUAAAUCAGAACUAACAUUUUUUUUUUUAUAAAAUAAACGAUAUUCAUUUAUUCAAAUUGAUAAAGUAUAUCGAUACAAUACAAAUUCAAAGUCACUAUAAACAAAAAUGAUGAAUUUGCAAACAAACUCACAACAUCCAUAUUAAUAACAUAAAACGAUGGAGUAUAUAUGCCUACAAAUAUGACUAUAUUCAAGCUUCCAUAAUAUUCAUGUCUCUAGAUACGUUGAUGGCGCCAAAGUCAUUGAUUGAAUCUACAUUUGCUCAAAGUUAAUCUUACAACCUGAAUCAAAUAAACACCGCACUAAGACGGAAAAAUAAAAAACACAUCACACAAAGACGAUAAAUCAAAACAAACAGAGUCGUACAAAAACGACGUAAUCAUAAAAACAAACGAAAUAAUACUGAAAAUAUGUGGAAAUCAUUUAUUUAACUAAAAAAGAAUAAAAAAUAAUUCAGAAAAGUGAUUUUGGAUAAAAAUAGUGAGAGAGUAUUUCGAAAUUGGAACUUUAAAGACAAUAUGAAAAGGAAAUAAUUUUUUUUUAAUUAGCCACUCUUGUUUUCUUCAAUUUAUACUUUUGACUACAUGCGACUUAAAAAAUAACUUCAUUUCAUUUUUAUCUUUAAAAGAAAACAAUUCAUUUCAUUUUUAAACUAUUUUUUAAAACUUCAUUUCAAUUGGAACAUUUUUUUAGAAAGAUGUCAUUAAAUUAGUUUCUAACUUUAUACGACAUUUUUAAAUAAAUUUUUGAGAUUGUGAGUAUUUUAAAAAAGUCUACAAUCUACUAAAUCGGCAACUUGAUAUCUAUAUUUAAUCAUAUACUACCAAUUAAAUCCAUAUAUUUUAACAGUUUUGGUCACUAAAUUUAUCUAUUUAUUUAUGCUCGAUUUUUUUUUUUUAUCUUUUACUUAUCAAAUUAAUGUCUAACAUGUUUUUUUCAGGGGGAGUUUGUUUCACCGAUACAAAAAUUAUUUUUAGGAAUAACUUAUCUGAAAAUGUAAAUAUGAAAUUUUGAUCCGUGUACAACAACCUUCACUUAUUUGAAAUGGAGGAAGUAGUUCAUUUUUCAGCAUCUCAAUAUGAAUGUGAAUGAACACAUUAACUGCCUUUAAACAAGCAGAUAAAACGUGCUAGUAGUACAGUAAUAAUACUACUGAUACAUGCACGCAUUUAUACAAGCAGAUAAAACGUACCAGUUCACAAAAGUGAUAGCAAUGGCUAUUUACUCUAUUGGAAGAGAAAUUCACCAUUUUUAGUAUCAAUUCAUUUCUAUUAUUUAAACAGCAAAGUAUAAGAUGCACAAGCACAAUGUGAUAUUAUAUGGAGUAUGAAUACUUCUUGGAUUAAACGUGUCAUGGUGUUUGACAUGCGUCGUAUCCAACACCGACACAUAUAAUAACACUGAGUUAUGUUAUUUUCUUAAAUAAUUAAGGGUGUCGGAGUGUCGGUGUCUGGUAUCCAUGUCCGUAUUUGUCUUUCAUGGGUGAUAUUGCAUUUAAAUAUAUUUCUCUCUAUUUUUAUUUAUAUUUUAUCAUUUAUAAGGAGGGAAGCUCAAAUGUAACGUAAUGCGCCGUUCUCCAACCAGUGGAACGGUACUCGUAAUGCGAUGUGUUUGCGCGAUGAUGAAGGAGCAUUCGUGCUCGAAAUAAAAAACUUGGGGAUAUCUUCUGCGUGUACAAUUGAAUUAUGUGAAGCUCUUGUUCUAUAUCAUGCUAUCAAUUGGGUUAACGAUAUGCAAUUUGACAAUGUUGAUUUUAAGCUUGACUCAAAAAUAGUAGUGAAUGCCUUCAACAAAGAUUAAGUGAAUGUAACGGAUUUUGGAUAUGUUAUUUCAGGUUGGUAGAUAUAGUUUUGAAUUCAACUUAAAACUCUCAUGUUGAGUUUCGUCGAGGACAAAUAAAUGAAGUCGUUCAUCCAUUAGGAGUUGUAGCCACAUUCUCAGCUAGUUUUAUUACUUAUUUUGAUGUAUCAAUAGAUAUAACUCUACUUCUUAUUAAUGAAAUGUUAUAAACAUUUUUAUAAAAAGAAAAAACACAAUAUUUCAAUUCAAAGUUUUGAUGUCCAAUACUAAUAUUCCAUUGAACACAUCGUGUACGGUCGUACUGAGAAUAAAGCAUAGAUUCUGCAAGCUUGCUUUUUCUUGUUUUGCUUUUUAAGCAAGUUGUUGGUGAGAAGCAGUAAUUAUUAAAUACUACGCAAGAACAUUGAACCAUGUCAUAAAUUCAAAUUUUGCACAGUAACAAUGUUGUACUAACUAACAUACAUUGAAUCUAAACAAGACUUUAUUUUGAAUUUCAGAUAUUUCUGCUAGAUGAUGGAGUAAUUAAAUUGCAAGGAAAUUGCAGUAAGAACAUUUAGCCAAAACUGAGCUUUCAAAAUAAGAAGAUUUAGCCAAAAGUAAACUAAUCAUCACUUGAAGGGGUUUUAAUUGUAAAAUUUAGCCGAAGCUGGUAAUAACAUUUUAUGUAGAUUAUUUCAUUUUCAAAGGUGCAAUUUCGCUUACAAUUUAUUUUAAAUGAAUAACAUGACAAGAACCAUUGAAAAUUCACACACAAAUAGAGAAGGGUUGUGAUUCAAAUCUCGAUCACAACGUAUGAUCUAAUAAUUUCGUCAUUUUUACGAGUUAAGUUAGGAUUAUGGAAGACUCGAGUGAGAUUUGCAACUGUAUGUAUUUGAAUGUCAAAAUUGUCAAAUUUGAAUGUUUAGGGUCUAUUUCAAAGUUUAGGAGAGGAAGAAAGAUAAAGACGGAUGCGUUUGAUUUGCAAAACAGUAAGUACUUGAUAGAACAGCACAAGACAACACAACACAAUACAAGGCAGAACAGCACAAGACAAAUUUUGUAUGAUAUUGAAUAAUUUUAUGUUUUAUAUGAUUUUUGGGGACGAAAUGCUAUUUUGGUAUUUUAGACAACUUGUACAUGGGACAAAAAGUUGUGCUGUGGUUUGGUGAGGGACAAAAAUUUCAGUUUUUGUCCAGUUCCUUGCCUCCAAUUUGUCAUGUCCAUGAAACAGUUUUACAAAUCAAACACUGGACAACUGAAGUUGUUCUGUCCUAUCCUUCAUUUUUUAUCAAAUCAAACGCAAUUAAGGGGGGUAGGAAAAUGAUGAAAAAAUGGUCUAUAAAAUUUUAACUUGAGCCGACCUAAGGGGCUGCCAGUAAUGCGAGGCUUUAGCCCCCUAAAUUUUCUAGGUCUCGUAUUCGACCUUAUAUUUUUAGCUUUGAAUAUAUUUUUGUACAUCUAAUCUUAUAAAUUUGUUCACCCAAAGUUCAAGUGGUAUUUAAAUAAAGAGUUACGGUUCAUGAUGGAAGUUUGAUUUAUAUGCUAGCCAUUUUAUUGGUUAUUUGGAUCUUAAAUUCUUUUUGCCUUCAAAUUUCUAUUAAUCUAACUUGAUGUCGGUUGUUGGAAAUAUAUUAAGACAAGUAGUGUGUAAUCAAAGUUUGUAAAAAUAAAAAAUUAAUUUAUAUUUGUAUCAAUUCAAUAUUAUCUUGUUAUUUCAAGAUCUAACAAUUGGUAAAUAAUGUAUAUAUUAAAUAUUAUUUUUAACAUGCACGCAUAUCAUUUUUUUUAUUUUAAAAAAGUCAUGCACAAAUGAAGUUGGCUCUAGUGAAAGAGGAUAUACUCUUACAAUGCGACAAACCAAAGUUUGAUUUUUAGUUGGCAAAAUACUCAUAUUUAACAUUCAACAAACAUCAUCUAUAAUUACUUUCAAUUGAGGAAACUUAUAUAAUUCUUAUUUUCUUUAAACUCACCAAAAAAACCUCUAUUUAAAUUUUGUUUUAGGUCUAAAAAUACAUUAGACCAACCCAAUUUCAACAAAAAGGAAACUGAAAAUGUUUUUAGAAAGCAAACCGGUCCCAAUUUUAUCCAAAAUUGCGUUUGUUAUAGACUCUCAAAUACUAUCGCAUUGACAUGUCCAUGUCCAUAGUGUUUGUUUAAAUUUGUUUUAUUUUAUUUUAUUUAAGACCGUGGGAGAAAUCUCUAUGGGAUGUGGAAGUUGGUGCUUAAUUGUUGAUUAAUGAUUUGAACUCCUUUUCACUCUUGGUGCUCUUUGAAAGUUGUUGGAAUGGUGUUAUCAAUACAAAUACCUAGAUGAGAGACAAAUCAUCAUUUUAAUAAUGAGAUUAUUGAGAUUCAUUUUGGUAUUAAGCUACUUUGAUAUGUUUAUUAUGAUAUAAUAAGCUAUGAGUUUUGUGUCCUUCCUAUUGUUGUGGAGUUUAAUUAAUUAGGUAAAGACAUAGUUAAUUAAGCAUGCAAUUGGAUUAUGCAUGAUAUCAUUUUAAAGUAAACAUGUCAUAUGUUUAUUAAUUUUUUUAUUGAUUUGCUUGUUGCAACAAUCUCUUGGGCAGUUACAUAAAGUAGGAGAAGCAAAGAGCUAUGACAAAAGACACAAAUUUUGAAGAAAAAAGGCCUAAUGAAACAGAGUGGCAAAAAUUUUGUAGCCACAAGUGGCAUUGAUAUGAAAUCAAAGACUCUCUAGUUGUCGGAUUUGAUUCUCAAAGAAUUUCGGCACUUAUUUUAAAUUGAGUUAAUGGGGGGCUGUACCCUAUCAGAUAUAAGAUAUAAAUUAGUUUGAUAUUUAAAUUUUUGAUGAUCGAGGUUUGAACAUCAGAUCUUAAUAGUUGAUUUGUAGUUCCACAUAGACAAUGUAAAAUAUUUGUAUAUGUGAGUUCAAUCAUCAUUUCAUGAUGUCACAUUUUUAGGUUAGUUAUUAAAAUAUCUUUAAAAAUGUCUAUUUUAAAUGAUUUGAUUGAACGUAUAUGUAUGAAAACUUUUACACCGUUGACGGAUAGAAAUUAAUAUUGUCAGCAAUAUACAUUCAUUUGCUACUUUUUUUAUCGUAAACAAAGUAUUUUUAUGCAUCGUUGAAACUUCAACAUAUUGUUUCAUAUGCAUAUUGGUUAAAGAUGAAACCCUUAAUCAAAUGGUUGAGAGAUCUCAAACAUCUAUCAAUUGUGUCAAACCAAGCUGAUAUCAAUUUUUUAUUUUAUACAAUCUAUUUUAAAAUAAACUUUUUAUUAAGUGGGAUGAUUUGAUAAAAUAAAAUGCUUUUAUUGAAUGCCAAUUUAAACUGAUUAUGUUGGCAAUACAUGUUGUUUAAACACCUUUAAAUUUGUUUGAUAUUUAAUUUGAUUAAUUUUUUUUUUGGUCAAGAUUUGAUUUUUUUUUUUUUAUAAAGGUAAAGGAAUAUUUAGUUAAUCAUGCAUGAUGUAUUGUAUGAUAGCUAGAUAGAUAUUGUCUGCCACAUCAUGUAUUUAAGAAUAAUGUGGAAUUUCACACCGUUGAUAUGACAAAGGCCAAUCUAGCUACCCCUUUGUGAUGCUAAUGGUGGGGUAUUUUCUUGAUGGUGUGGAACAUCUUAUUCAUUUAACAUUUUGAAAAACAAAUUGGCAUAAGCAAGUUCUAUUCAAAGUCUCAUUAUUUGUUUGACGUUUUCUUGGUAAUCAUAUCUUAACCAAAGAUAAAUUAUUAGGAAAAUGUAUUCUUUAACAAGACUCAAUUAUGUGCGCUUGGUUGUGGCUUGGUUGAAUCGACACAACAUCUUUUUUUGGAUUGUUCCGUAUUCGGCUCUGUUUGGAAUCUUCUUCGGCACUGAUUUGGUAUCGCCUAUGUUGAUCAUCUUUGUUUGUCAGACCACUUUCUUUAAUUUGGUCACAUGGGCGGUAAUUCAAAAUCUCUUCGAUAUGUUUUACGGUUAAUUUGGGUUUCGCGUGUUUGGUUGAUUUGAAGAGAAAAAAACAAUCAGAUUUUUAACAAGGACGAAUUGUUGCAGCAAUUGUUAGCAUAAUUAAGCUCCUCAAUUUACGUUGAGAAGGCAAAAAACUGUGACUUUUGGUUUCGAUUAUCACAAUUGAUGAGUUAAUCCUUUAGUUUGUUUGUGUAAUGGCAUGUACUUUUAUCGUUUGCCUAAGUUUGUUUUGGCAUUGUAAUCAUUUACAAAAUUCAUAGUGUUCUGUUAUGGCACUCCUUGUGCUAUACAUAAUGCUCUUAAUAGUUGCAAUAUAUUUCAUUCAAUAUUUAUUAAACAUGCACUUAUUCCAUGACAUAUUCUAAUGCCGAAAAACUAAGUGCCAUGUUUAGUUUUGCAAUGAAAAUAAUUAAUUUUAAACAAAUUUGUUCCGGAUAAAAGUGGUUUGGUUAUAAAAUGAUUUAUGUUUAUAUGUAUUUAUGUAAAAAAAAGUUAAUUUAAUAAUAAAAAUAUGAUAAAAUCAAUUCUACAACCUCCGACCUCCAAAUCAUUUUAUACCGUCCAAAAUUAAAACCAAACAUAUAAUAAAUAAAGUGAAUAAACACAACACUAAACAUUAGAAAAAUAUAAUCCUUGUUCAUGUGAGUUUAUCUCUAUUGGUAGGAACAUUACAUAACAUUUGCAGGAGUCGAGGUUUAAAUCCUAAAUAUUUCACUUCUUCACAUUUAAAACGUGUGAGAUUUAACCCCUAAGUUGUUAGAUUUUUUUUUUUAAUCCUUCAAACAUGUAUUCUAAGGAUGUACUAAGAAUACAUAUUAAGGGCAUAUCUACGGUGUUUCCUAGUCAGAUGCGAGAACAUUUUACAUAAUUUACAUUAAUAUCCGGUAUGCCUCGAAGCUCACAUUUUGUUUUCAAAGUAAUUUGGUUUGCUUAUGUCUGGGUGAUUUGGAAGGAUCGUAAUAACCGUGUUUUCAACAAUACGAAAUCAAAUCCCUCCAUCUUAUUUAAGAAGGUGAAACUGAAUUCCUUUUUGUGGCUGAAAGCAAAAUGAUUGUCGUUUAAUUUUAGUUAUCAUGGUUGGUAGCAACACCCGUUUCCUUGUUUGGGUGUUCGCAUGUAAUUUAUUUUUUUAUUUUUGCGGUGCCUCACCUUUCUUGACACUUGUUUGUUGUAAACUUUUGAUCGUUGCUUCUCUUUCGCACACUUUGUGCGGGGAAUCACAUCAAUUUUUUUUUAAUGGAAAAAUAUAUUAUAUAUAGGGGAUUAAAUCCCAAGUAUUACACAAUAAGAAAAAUAAAAGCCCCCAAAACACCCGGUGAAAAGUCAACAACACAACAAAUAUCUGACACCACCAACAAAGAUCAAUAAAGCAGCCAAUAAUGAUAUGUUGCUUGAAACGAUCGGACGCGACCACCACUCAACUUCCGGUAAGACGGAGGAGCCACCAACAAAGCGAAAAGAACCUGAGUCAAAAAACUAGCUCCUGAUCUCGAAGCAAAAGCGAUUGGUCCACCAGACUCCCGACACAAAUCAUCAAGGCACCCCUCAACUCACGAACCACCAGAGCAGACACCAAAAUCUAUCUAAAAACUCGGCUCACCAAAAACCAGAUGCCAAAUUCAUAAGACAUGAACGGCAGAACAGUAGCGCAAGUCGAUCCAGCUUGAACAGAAACAAACCAAAACAAGCCAUGAAAUCAACCACCACAAGAACCACCACAAACACAAUGUUGGCGCCACCCUCUGGACUAUUGUACCAUCUUACGUCGCGGAGGAGAAAACACCCACCCAUCCAGGGACAGGAACCACCACAACUGCACGACCUUUUGCAGACCUAGAGAACAUCGUCGACUAAAAACCGACGACGAGGGAGAGGUUGGGAAAGCGCACAGAAGCUUGGACGACAUGAAGAAAGAACGUAACCAAAAACCAACGCGAAAAUAGCACAAGCCCCUCUCCACGAAAGAACCAUGGAACAGAAACACAAGACUCAAACAAAACGAACCACACAACAACGGUGACCAUCCCCCACAACGAAUUUGAAGGUACAUUAAAGACUGCUACCGCCAACACGAAACGUCUACGCACCAAAUCCUUUCGAGUAACAUCCAGAAAAGAAAGAGAUCGUCAGAACCAACACAAAACGACACAAAGCCGCCCCAAAACAACAAAGAAACCAACGACGCUCAAAGAAGACGGCGACGCAAAACCACCACCCACUCCUUCGGCGCCACUCAACACACCACCAAACAGAAAACGACCAGCAAUAAGGUAGGCUGCUCAAACUGGAUCUGAGCUAAACCAACAAACAAACCUCAACGACGACCAAGCGACGGAGACAAUGUUGUUAAUAUACAAUCAUUUUGGUUUGUGCAAAAAAAGAAUACAUAUUAAGGGAUUCUUAUAAUAUAAAUUUUGUGUUAAAUUCUUUUUUUAUCAUUUGAAAAAAUUAUCAAACUCACACAUAUCAAAAUUUGUUUAUAUUGGGAUCCACUGUUCUGACUCUACAGAUCCAUAGCAGGACCAUCUCAUUACACACUGUAAAUGUACACAAGAUUUCCCUUCCAACCAAAAUAAAAUCAAAAAAAUUAACCAAAACAAUUAAUUAAUUAAUUAAUUAAUUACAUAAACAAUGGGUCCCACAAAAACCACUUGCUUCCAUCGAAAAUCGAAUGAGUCCCAAUCCAAUGAAUCACGCGCCACAACCUUCUUAUAAAUACUCCCUCAAAUUCUUCACCCUUUUUCACUUUCCUCUCUCACACAAAAAUUCCCAACCGCAACAAUUACACUUUUACCCUCGCCGCAACCGCAAACUUCAUCGCCGCCGGCGGAACAUGAUCGUUAGAGAAACGACGUUGAAACGAGAAAUCAAAAGAGUAUGGUUCGUUGUUUCAGCUUAGGUUCCGUUUUGAUUCUGAUCGCACUUGCAGCGUCUAUGGUUGUUCUUCCUUUGAUGCUUCCGCCGCUACCUCCACCGCCGUUGGCUCUUCUUUUCUUCCCGGUCGGAAUCAUGGCGGCGCUUGUUGUUCUCGCUUUCUCACCUUCGGAGAAUGUUAAAAACGUCGUCGUUUAUUCUUCUUCUUCUUCAGGAAUCGCGAAUUCGAAACGGUGAAAUCGUUGGAUCUGUGAUACAUUUUCAGUUUCUUGAAUGUUCCGAUCGGUUUCUGAUUUGAUUUUAAUUUUAAUGAUUUUUUUGUUUUGUUACGUUGUUGAUAUUAUUAUUGUUAUGAAAGAAAAUUGUAAAAGGAAAAUAGUAGAAAGGGAAGAUUCAUUGUAUCAUUGCGGCUUAGAAGAUUAGUGGUAUUAAUUAAUUAAUUAAUUAAUGUAAGAUUAGUAUUAUAUUAUUCUUUUGUAAUUGUGAGUUAGGAUUACCUAAGUUUUCUCCGAUUAGGAGAAAACUUAGGUGCAAUUCCUUAGGUGCUUUUCGUAUGGUUCUUAACUAAAUUCACCAUGAUUUCCUUAAAUCCAUAAUUUUCUCAAAGUUUGUUAUAUCCAAAAAAUAUGUAUUUUUAGUUAAGAACCAUACGAAAAGUACCUAAGAAAUUGUACCUAAGUUUUCUCCUUAGGAUUAUUUAUUAUACGUUUACUACUUUUUGAGAAUUGAUUUAAAAUAAUUUUUGACUAAUUGUCUAGUUUUAGUAUUCCUGCAGCUGCCGACCGGCUGCUAAUCCAAUAUUGCUGAGAAAUAUUACUAUUUAAAGUAUACUUGUAAUGGAAGUUUAAACUAUACUUUUUCUCUUCUUUUCUAAUAAUUUAUCCUGUUUGAUUUGUUUAUUGACGUCAUGACCGGUCGAAGGGUCAAGUCACCCAAAUAAAGGCUUUAGACCUAAGAUUUUGAGUUAUAAAAAAGCUUUAAAAUAAGUCAAUUUAGCUAUAAGUAUAUAAUAUGAU
rnacentral:lncRNA from 1 species